UGUGGUUUCAAUAUUAAUCCUGAUAUGUGGUCCACACUUAUCAUUGAGAGUUUGGGGGUAAUUCCACACAGCAAUCAGCAGGGGGAGGAAUCUUCCAGCAAGUCGCUUUCCCAGCAGACUCGAGAUAACUUUGCCUGAUUAACUUUUCAAAAUAUCAAAAUGUCCGAUUUCUUGGUUUCUCAUAUUUCAGAAUACACAUCAUCUACCCUAAAUCCCUAAAUCUCCCUAAUUUCUAAGACCUAAAGCUACAAAGUGAUACGUCACAUUAAGAUUAUGAAUUUAGUGGUAUUAUUUGUAAG